GACGAACGCUGGCGGCGGGCUUAACACAUGCAAGUCGAACGCAUCCUUCGGGGUGAGUGGCAGACGGGUGAGUAACGCGUGGGAACGUGCCCUUCAGUUCGGGAUAACCCAGGGAAACUUGGGCUAAUACCGGAUACGUGCGAGAGCAGAAAGAUUUAUCGCUGAAGGAUCGGCCCGCGUCUGAUUAGCUAGUUGGUGGGGUAAUGGCCCACCAAGGCGACGAUCAGUAGCUGGUCUGAGAGGAUGAUCAGCCACAUUGGGACUGAGACACGGCCCAAACUUCUACGGGAGGCAGCAGUGGGGAAUAUUGGACAAUGGGCGCAAGCCUGAUCCAGCCAUGCCGCGUGAGUGAUGAAGGCCUUAGGGUUGUAAAGCUCUUUCGUCCGGGACGAUAAUGACGGUACCGGAAGAAGAAGCCCCGGCUAACUUCGUGCCAGCCGCCGCAGUAA
rnacentral:rRNA from 1 species